rnacentral:rRNA from 1 species
GUCUAUGACCAAAUCACCCAGAUAUGCAAUCUCGUCAGAUCUCGAAAGCUAAGCAAGGUUGAGCCUGGAUAGUGCUUGGAUGGGUGGUUGCCGUAUACACAUGUUCUGAUAGACC